rfam:Erinaceus europaeus unplaced genomic scaffold scaffold00551, whole genome shotgun sequence
AUAUUUACCUGGCAGAGGAGAUACCAUGAUCACAAAGGUGGUUUUCUCAGGGAAAGGCUUAUCCAAACUCGACUGCAUAAUUUGUGGUAGUGAGGGACUGUGUUCACACUCUCCCCUG